GAAUAUUGCACAAUGGGGGAAACCCUGAUGCAGCCAUGCCGCGUGUGUGAAGAAGGCCUUAGGGUUGUAAAGCACUUUAAGUUGGGAGGAAGGGAUGAGAGCUAAUAUCUUUCAUCAUUGACGUUACCAACAGAAUAAGCACCGGCUAACUCCGUGCCCGCAGCCGCGGUAAUACGGAGGGUGCAAGCGUUAAUCGGAAUUACUGGGCGUAAAGCGCGCGUAGGUGGCUACUUAAGCUAGAUGUGAAAUCCCCGGGCUUAACCUGGGACGUGCAUUUAGAACUGGGUAGCUAGAGUACAGAAGAGGGUAGUGGAAUUUCAGGUGUAGCGGUGAAAUGCGUAGAGAUCUGAAGGAACACCAGUGGCGAAGGCGACUACCUGGUCUGAUACUGACACUGAGGUGCGAAAGCGUGGGGAUCAAACAGG
rnacentral:rRNA from 1 species